rnacentral:rRNA from 1 species
ACCUAAGAGAUUAGGUGUUCCCUUCGGGGACAGAAUGACAGGUGGUGCAUGGUUGUCGUCAGCUCGUGUCGUGAGAUGUUGGGUUAAGUCCCGCAACGAGCGCAACCCUUAUUGUCAGUUGCCAGCAUUAAGUUGGGCACUCUGGCAAGACUGCCGGUGACAAACCGGAGGAAGGUGGGGAUGACGUCAAAUCAUCAUGCCCCUUAUGACCUGGGCUACACACGUGCUACAAUGGACGAUACAACGAGUCGCUAGACCGCGAGGUUAAGCUAAUCUCUGAAAGUCGUUCUCAGUUCGGAUUGCAGGCUGCAACUCGCCUGCUUGAAGUCGGAAUCGCUAGUAAUCGCGGAUCAGCAUGCCGCGGUGAAUACGUUCCCGGGUCUUGUACACCCCGA